CAUUAUAAAUUUGUGGAAAUGAAAUUAAUGAAAGUUUCAUAAGGUGUAUUAAAGGCUGAGCUUAUUCUGAUAAAAUAAACAUAAAAUUGCAUCAACACUUGAUGGUUGAUACCAUGUCAAAGAAAAGUAGAAAAAGAAAGUCCGAGGAUGGGAGCCAGUCACCAGUUGACUGGGAGGAAGAAAAUAUUUUCUCUGAAGAAAUAAAAAAUGAAAUGGAAUCUAUGUGGGAGAUUCCACAGAUAUUUCAGUUCCUUCAUUUGGCUAAGGAAGCUCUAAAUAUACCUCAUUUAUCCAUGUAUGAAAUGGAACGCAUGCUUUUAAUUCCAAGAGCUUCAAAACAACUGGCAAACAUUAUGACUUGUUUACUAAGUUCUCCAAUGACAAAAUCAAAAUUGAGAAAGGUACCGCCUAUGCCAUAUGAGUUUUGGACAAAUAUCUUGGCCUACAAAAUGAAGAGCUGGUUUAAAGUGUAUGAAGCAAAGCAUCAAGACCCAGUAAAAAUUCUAGAGACCAUUGGUGUUGAACCAGAAUUUUGGAAUGUUUUUCCUGAUGCUCCUCUGCUGAAUGGCAAAGAUUUUGAAGAGCUGACCUUUAAACAGAAGGUGUGGCUUUUGAAAACAGUCUGUGAUACAGUUAUGCACUCUAGGAAAUCUGUGCAAGAAGAAAUAGCCAAGCAACCAUGGGAAAACCAAUUUGAAACUGUCCUAGGAACUGAUCGUUAUGGCGCAAGAUACGUUUAUUUUCCACAAUUUUUGAAAAGUGAUCUACGAGUGUAUAGACACUGUCUUGAUAAUAAGAUUUUCUCGACGGUGAAGGUACCAUUAUCACAACCUAUCAAGCCAAAAUUACACGCGGAAAAUGAAGAGCUGGAUGAAAAUGAGUUAAUAAAAAAACAAGUUAGGCGCAGAAGAAGAAGAUGGUGCAACGGUUUGCCUCCGAAAUUAAAGAGGAAAGGAAAUAAAUGUGAUGAAAAACAAUUAAACGAUAUUAAGAGUAACAGCGAUAGCGCAACAAGUUCCUUGAUAAACGAAGAUACAAGUUUGAGUAACCUAAGUACAUGUAGUGAUAGUAAUAGCAAUAACAAUAACGAUAUCAAUCCGACCACUAUCAAUGUUAAAAGACCGAGAAGUUCAUCGAAAUGUUCGGAAGUAAGUAUGGAAUCAGAUAAAACUUGUUGUACAAAAUCGAGUGGUUACGAUACGAAUCGUUCUAUCGACAAUCUUUCUGAAAGCAAAUCACCGGAAAGAAUGUUCAAAGGUUUCUCGAAUAGCAGUGAUAUUACAAAUAAAAAAUGUGACAUAAAUGUAAUUAAUGGACUAUUGACUAAUUUACAAUCAGAAUUCAGUGAAAUUGAAAGUACAGAAGAUUCUGGUGUAAGUUUAACGCAUACUUCCCCAAACAAAUUGGAAAUUACAUCAGCGAAAGAGCAGUAUUUAGAUGCAUUAAAUUUGCACGCAACUAAGAGUGAACCUGUCGAUAGAACAAUUGAUAGUUUGUGUAGUGUCUCGAAGACAGACGAUGAAAAGUUGAACGAAAUUAUCAGCGCUGAAAGUUUAAAGGUUGGCAGUGAAGCACAUCAGAUGACGACAUCAAAAUCUGAUGAUGAGAAGUUAAGCGAAACGAGAAUUAAUUGUGACGCGACUGAUCAGUCUGAAGGAAAAGAGGGAAAUGAGAUAAUCGAGAGACCAAAUGGACAAUAUGCCGACAGCCAGCAAUCAGAUAAUUUGAACAUUAGUGACAAGGAAACGCCACAUUCUAAAGCAACAAGUAAAAGUAACAAUGAGAUAGAGUCUAAUGACGAUAAAGAUCUUUCUUUGAGUGAGUUAAGAUGCAUGUUGCAAAAAGAAGCGAUGGAUGAUGAGCACUAUCUUGACGAAGAGCGCAAAAAGAAUUAUAAUGACCGAAAAUUAAAGAACAACAUAGCAGAUAUGUGGCACCAAGAAGUGGAGAAUUUUAAUGAGAUGCUUUCAGAACUUAGCUCUUCGGAAUUUCAACUUGUAGCUGACAGCGUCAGUUCAUUGAGAGAUCUCAUUGCUUCUUUCUCUCAAAAGGAUGAUGAUACAACUACUGAUGCUGAUGGUGAAGACGAAUCUAUCCCUCCUUGUGAAGUAAGUUUGAUUAAAGAAAUGAUGGAUUUACUAGCCACUGUAGAAAAAAUAGAAUCAGCUUUACGUGAGUCGACAAGAAGGGCCAGAGGGAAACUUCAAAAGGAAUGGACCAAUUUUAAAGAAGGCAGUGUGGAGGAUCAGGACUCAUCUGGGGAGGGUCUCGACUCUAAUUGGUGGGUUCUUGGAUCACAGAGCUGUCCACCGCCAACUUCCGGAGAUUCAACGUUACAAACGUUACCGCAUUUUACCAUAUCCCCAACUGGCUCCCAAAACGUUUCCAACCAAACUGAAGACCGUCAAGCAGACCAACGUACGAACUCCGUCGAAUUCGAUAAAAAUAGCAACCAACAAUGUAAGGAACAUCAGGGUGAAAGCACGCAAGAUGAAACGCAAAGAAGUCAAUCCAACGGAGGCGAAGGAAGCAUCCAGGACGGCGCCGAAGACAAAAAAGAAUCGAAAGAAGACUCGAACCAAGAAGAACUGCAAUCGGGAAGAGUGUUGCGAGCACGCGGUGUCUCCUCGUACACAUUUUAUUCGGACGACGAGACUGAAGAGAACGAGUUGGAAGAAUGGCCCGACCUUGAGGCCAUCUACGCGGCUCCCACUACACAGGCCGAUUCAUCCACUCCUUACCUUACUACGAAAAUCAGAAACCUUGACAGUCGAACGAACGAGGAGGACUCAGACCAGGAUUGGAUUCUACCGAGCUCUCGCAAAAGGAAAAAUAAACGUCCGUCUGCCAGCCGAAGAUUAAAAUCCUUUCAACAUAAGUUACAAAGCAUUAAGGUUGACACCCUCCAAAACAUGGCAGAGCCAAUAGUAACUACCCCUAUAAAUAUAAAAAACCAAAAGCCGAAACCUAAAAUCAAAGAAAUUCAAAUAUGUAAACCAGAAGACCCACUUAGUUCAGAGAAUCCUGAUCCUGCGAUACAAAAUGCUGUACAAAAUCAUGAUACCGAGGUACAAAGUACUGCAGAUAACCACGACACCAUGGUACAAAAUACUACAGAGAACGGUGAAGCAGUGGUGCAAGAUGCUGCAAAGGAUCCUGACACCGUGGUACAAAAUAACCCUAAAGAACCAGUGCCUUCCACGGAAAUCACCUGCAAGAUCGAAAAUGUCGAAAGCGUACACUCAGAGUUGGACAUCAAAGACGAAGGUCCAAUUUAUGAUUGUAUGAGUCAGUGCGAUAAUACCUAUGCUACUAAUUUUAAUCAAAAUUAUGUGAUGGUCAGAGAUGAUCACAAUCCAAUAAACUAUUACGUGAUGCAACCGAAUCCUGUGAACGUUGCUACACAAAACACAUACGGGCAACCGGGUCCAGUGGUUUCGAACAUUAUAUCACCCGUUCAACAAGGCUACUACAUGCAGGGAGGGCAGAAUUACAUUAUUCAAAAUCCACAACCCAAUUUCAUACCUUCCCAACCGUUUCAACCACAAGGCCCACAAAUGAUUGCUCCUCAACAGUUCAUCAGCCAGCCUGGUUACCUGCCUUACAUGAUGACGCCGACGCAAUCGCAUCCUGAAUACGUGCCUGCAGGUUCUCAAACUGUUGCUGCUCAGGAGAUGCCUCAGAAUCCUAUGUACAUUCAGCCCCCUGCAGCUCCCCCACCUAGACCAGUUCAAAACAGGUACAUCGUACCGCGACAAAAUCUUCAUUCUCACGGAGCUGUUAUAAGAAGCAGCAUGCCUAUCAGAGGAAGUUUCCCACGGGCUAAUACCGCCAGGGGAGCCAAAACCUUUCAGCAACCACGUGGUUCCACUGUGAGACCCCAGAAGCCAAGGAAACAGAUUGCACCCGCGGAAACCACUGGUCAAAAGACUACUUCUUUAAUUGUCCUUAGUGACAGUGAUGAUGAAAUUGAGAUGAUCAUUACUGAAACCAGUCCCGGAGCUGAAACGGAGAAAACAAAGACUACUCAUCGGAAGAAUUACGCACAGUCUAGACAGAAUGUUACGCAAUCGAACAGCCCGGCAACAAAAAGUGCCAUCUCUCCACAGAUAAUUCAACGUAUGACACAAGGAGGCAUCUCGAUAACGCCCAUUAAGUCUGCACCACCCGUUCAGAACUCGAACACACAGUUAGUAGUAGUCGUGAAUGAAACUGGAAGCCAUUAUGCCUUAGCAUUACCUAAUGGAAGCAAGUUGAUCCUUACUCCUGAACAGGUGGCGCAGAUAAGAGCUUCAAACGGGGGAAAAUUAAUCUUGUAAUAUGUAAAUUAUUUUCGGAAUUUGUGGGAAUGAACUUUGAUCUCUUAUUUGUCUACGAUCUAGAACAGUGAUGCGGAUAGAAAGGACGCCCAAGAAAAUUUAGUAGCACCUGAGGUGCACGGAGUGCGAAAUUAAAGAUCCAUAAAGAUUUGAAACUUAGAUUUAGAAAUUGAGAAAUUGUCUACCCGUCACUGGUCUAUGGUAUAUUCUUAUAGACAAUGUAUUCUGAUGUUCCUACAAUGUGCAGCAGAAGUACGAUUUUUUUCUUGCGACCGUUCAGUGAAUUUAUAAAAACAUUUUGAAGGCAAGAUAUUACUGUAACACGAAGAUACCAUUAUUUUAAUUAUUAUAUUAAUGACCUAAUCAGUAAGUUUUCUUUUCAUUAGUUUUAUCAGUUAUUUGAUUUCAUAUUCAUCAUUCAUUAGAUUUUUUUACUUGAUAUUGAGUCAAGUUAAUAAUACAUAUAUAAUCUAUAAUUAAACUUUGUUUUUUCCCAGUUGCAGUGUUAGAACAUAAUUAGUGAUACUUGUGACCUGUGAUGUCUAUAUCCAUUUUUAUAUAUUUUGUUAUAAAAAAACAAUAUUGGUCUUUUAACCGUGUGAAUAAAUCGAAUAUUGUAACGAGAUGUUCGUUUUAUUCAUCAUUAAGGUAAAUUCAAAAAUGUAUUUUGGUUUUGAACAGCAUUUUCUGAAGUAUUUUUACAAGUAUAAUAGAAGUUUCUUUGACAAAGUAAGACGGUUGAUUAUACAACAUAUUGCGUGUGUCAUAGUGUAUUUAUAAUUUAAGCAUUAAGUGCAAUUAUAGCAAAAAGGUAUAUAACAUUCGAAUAAGUAAAAUUACUUUAUAUGUAUUAUUUGUAGAAUCGAAGGCAGCAUUUUCUUUUUGUAUAGCGUUUAGCUUUGAAAUCACAAAUGCACAUUAAUAACAAAUAUUUCUAAGAUCAGUAUAAUAAGAAAUCACAUUUUCAGAAGUUUUUAACAAGCCUCUGUAAACAAUAUAUUUAAUAAAUCAAGACAGAAGGAUAAUACAAUUUUCAGUAUGUUACGCGUAUGUUACAAGUAUAUUACAAACCCUAAAAAGAAAAGCUUUGUACACUUCACAGUGAAUAGGAACGUUAAAUAUUUUAAUAACAAUGAAUCUUUAUAACUUAUCAAAAACAUGAGAUGCGGCAAGUCUUCAGAACAUUAAAAAGAUACAGGAACUUAUUAUUUACAAUUGACAAUAAAUUACGUGAAUGUUACGAUAAAAGCAUUUGAUCCAAGAAUUUUAAAAUAUAAUUUAGAAGAAGCUAAACAUUUGCCAAUAAAUCUGAAAGAAAGGAGGGUGUAGUCGCAUCUAAAACAGAAACGUACACAAUUCAAAUGCAAGAACCAAAUAAAAAUUGAAGAAGUAGUGCAUUGACUGCCACAGAGUUACAAAUUUCAUAAGUAUUUAAAAUUAGAACCUGAAAUAAUGAAUGCAAAAGUGAGAAUAUAAACACAAAAAUUUCUCUCGUCUCCCAAUUAAUUUGGACAAUGAAAGUUCCACUUGAAGAUGAAAUCCGUAAUUUAUUAUGGCAGUGAGCGUUUCAAUGCUCGCGAGUGAAUCUCUUCCGGGAUCAUGAAAAGCAGGAAGUACACCGAGGAAAGUGUGAUCGAGAGACUUACGGAUAGCAUGGCCAACAGACAGCAAACGUACACGGCUCCUGGAAUCAGAAAAUGGGAUUAGCUUUGCGUGAAAAACGGAAGGGCGCAAAAAAACAUAUUCCGAUCGUGCAACCUUGUGCAAGAUCGCUCGUGGACAUACUCCAUUAUUAAGUAAACGUAACUCUGUGAAAAGUGGGCCGCCAGGAAAGGGAGUCAAUGCCGUCGUCAACGUAACACGAACGCCUAAUGUACUCGCGAGUUUCAUCCUGCAUACCUAAACGAAGACGCAAGAAAUUGUGUGGGUUUCUCCGUUUUUCGUGGCUAAAAGAAGCCUUAUUACGAGACGAUGCCUGGUCCAAUGUUAAAUAGACCGAUCAGAUUUAAUUAAGUUUGUUAGGUAAAUUAGCGCAAAACAAACUUGAACUUACCCAUGCUGGUGAACGCGUUUUCCACAGGUAACGACAACACCUGUUGAUCCACGCGAGACGGCGUCUCUUGGUUGACUGAGAUUGCAGGCGAAUUCUCGUCUUCCCCGCAGACCCUGAAAGAGUGAGUGCCGUUAUGUUGUACAGGAUGUAUCAGAAACGUCGGACAUAACAGUACGCGACCAUACGGUUGAACGUUUUAUAAAAAGAAGAAAAUUUUGUUGGAGAAAAUAAAUACAUUUAACUUUC
rnacentral:misc_RNA from 1 species